rnacentral:rRNA from 1 species
AUCCAGACUCCUACGGGAGGCAGCAGUAGGGAAUUUUGCGCAAUGGGGGAAACCCUGACGCAGCAACGCCGCGUGAUCGAUGAAGCCCUUCGGGGUGUAAAGAUCUGUCAGUGGGGACGAAACCUGACGGUACCCACAGAGGAAGCACCGGCUAACUCCGUGCCAGCAGCCGCGGUAAUACGGGGGGUGCAAGCGUUGUCCGGAAUCAUUGGGCGUAAAGAGUUCGUAGGUGGCACGUUAAGUCUGGUGUUAAAGGCGGAAGCUCAACUUCCGUAGGGCACUGGAUACUGGCGAGCUUGAAUGCGGUAGAGGUAAAGGGAAUUCCUGGUGUAGCGGUGAAAUGCGUAGAUAUACGGAGGAACAUCAGUGGCGAAGGCGACUAUCUGGCACAUAACUGACGCUGAGGAGCGAAAGCGUGGGUAGCAAACAGGAUUAGAUACCCCAGUAA